rnacentral:lncRNA from 1 species
GUGCAGACAGCGACGAGUAGUCUUGUGGCUAGCAAGGUAUCAGACACGCUCUCAGCACACACAGAGAUGCUGUGGCAUGCCGUGUGCUGGAGCACUACAAGCAUAUGCUGCACGGGUCUGUCUGUCGCGCUGGUUAUCUCUCAGCAGGUUGUCUCUGCCGCACGCUACUGCCUCGCUACAGCAGCAUCUCCGCGUUUAAGUCAAAUGCUAAAUGGCAUUUGGGGACACCGACCGACAGCAGCCACACAAGGAUAGAGCGACACUGCCACAAACAGCUGAGACCUGAAACGGGUUCGCGUUCUCCGCAGCCAUUCCCCGAAUCGCUGUGUCUGCGGUUUUUAGAUGUUCUCCACAGUCAAGAAAAGAAGUAAAGGAAACCAAAUGAGGAAGGCUAUGGGCUAAAAGAUACUCCCGCAAUAAGCUAAAAAAUACUUUAAAAAGGAUUCAGUCAGUUGUAUGAGCAUAUAUUUCGGGUAUUAAGCUAACGGCCGAGAGAACACAUCUGCAUUCCGCCUGUAAGUAAUGAUUCUUGGCAGUUGGAUAGUUUAAAUCUUUACGAAUAAUCAUGGAAAAUUUCAGCUCCAAUUAAUGUGCAUGGAUGAUCGAGAUUUGAGGCUACUCCUUGAUUGCUUCUUGGUUCCUUUUCUGUUGUGGAUUGUGCUGUGAUUGUUGUAGAUUAUUUUACCCUGCCACACACACAGCACAGCACACCCCUUACAGGGUACUCCUGCAGCAUGUAAAGAAGAGUGCUAAGUGGAGAGAACUUCCUGUCCCGUGUGUCCUGUCACUUGCAAGUAAGUGCCUCGACUGGCUCAGGCAGUGGGGCUCUCUUUCCCUACUGGGAGUUUACACAUGUGAUAAGAGAUCGGAACAACAUGAAACCCCAUCCAAAAAGCAGUGCGGCGGAGUGUCCUCAACAGCAGGAGAUUCUCCCAGCCGCAGUAGUGCCCGGGAGUGGCCCCUGGAAGUGCCUUCAUUCCAUCUUCAGUUGUGUCCAAAAGUCGCUUAACCCCUUUCUGGCUCUUGGCUCCAUAAGAAGCUCUACAUUUUGAUUGCCCUGAAGCACACGCCUCCGCUCUAUGCCCCUUCCCCUUGGACACACAUAAUUGCUCGAAUGUGGCAACAAUUUGAGCACAUCCUCAGCCACACACACGGGGCCACACUGUGAGCCCGUAUAUUCCACACCAGCCAGUCGUUCGGGGGUAGCAAAUAAAUUUAGUACUGCCUCGUGGGGCAGGGACAGAGUGGCUCUGGCUGGGUGCACGUUUCCGGCUCCUUCCUGGCUUUCUGGGUGUGGAAAAACUAUCAACAUUUUACUUACAGUUGCCCAAGGCAGAGGCUAGCCAGCAGCCAGCAGCCCGAAGAAGGUGGAAAAGUUGUACAAACUUUUAGCACACACACACACACACACACCUGCCACACACACACACACACACACACACACACACACACACACAGGAGCGUGUUGACAAAGGCCAACAAGCGGCAGCGGGAAGUUUCCUUGAUAAAUGUAAUGGCCAAAAAGUAAAAGUGAAAAUGGCAGCAAAUUAAACGCACAAAACUUGAAAGCAAAAACCAACUGAGUGAUGUCCCUCGUCCUGCUCCUCACACUCCUCCUGCCCACUCGAAGAUUGUGCAAAAAAGAAAAGGGUUUUGCCAACCUUUUUCCUUGGCAAUUUUAAUUAAAAUAGGAAAAUGAAUUUAUGAUUUACUUUUGGUACACAAAUUAAAGGCAUUUCCUUUCUGGCUCUGGCUCUGUCUCUGAUGUUUAAAGCCUUAAAGGGACUGGCUCUUUGGCUGGAUUUCGAGUGGGUUUCCACCUUCCGUUUCCCCCAGCAUUUCCAUUACCAAAUCCAAUCUUUCCUGCCAAAAACACGCGCUUUUCAAGUGCCCCUUUUUGUGUGUGAUGUUUUUUUUUUUUUGUUGGCUGUUGGCUGAAAUUUACAUAAUCUUAAUGCAAAGUCGCUAUGUCCCGCCGCCCCCUCCCCUCUCCCGCUGUGUGUCUGAAUGGACGCAGACAGCGACGCGUCAGCGGCAGUGGCAAGCAGAACAAACACUCGAAACGAAACGAAACGCGACGACUACCACUUUUGCAGUGGCAAAAACAAUCUUGAGGAAUUGUCUUCUGCCCUGCCACCAUGGGCAGCAAGUGUCUGCAAAUAAUGGAUGGAUGGAUCGAGCCUUGCAGCCCUUUCCCUGGCUCGAUUCGUUCCAGUAGACGGGUACAUUCGGCGGGUCCAUGUGUGCGAAAAGUUGACAACAAGCAACUAACACUUUCCACGGGCGAACAGAGCGGACUGCGGCAGGGGUGCUGCCAAAAGUCAAUUGAGUGUGAAAAGCCAAGCGAGUUUAAUUUCCAAAUAAAAGGGCUGUGAUUUCCCAGCCCGAAAAGAGAGAGAGAGAGACCAAGGGUACGGGUGAGGUUGAGCAUGAGGUUCCAGCUCAGGAGAACUAUUAGCGCAUGUCUUCGUGGGGAGAGCCAAGGAACCCUUCUGCUUCUUGCAAGGACCAACGAGCGCCGCCUUUAUCUUGCGGCUUGUGGCUUGUAUCGUUCGCUCUUCCUCUCCCUUUGCCCAUCUGUGUCUUUGCUCUAUUCAAUUUGCAGCCCUCACUCGUACCAUUGACAGUCGGUUAGCAUAAUUAUUACACACGGCUUAGCCGCCUGCCGGAGGGUUCAGCUCUUGGCUAAUACCUGCGCUGCAAGACACCCCAAACUGCCACAGUGCCACCCUGCCACCCUGCCACCCUGCCACACUUCUCUGCGCUGAUUUCUC